GGAUGGAUCAUUCUUGGUUUUAAUUCCCAACCUAAUGAACUCACUGCAUUACCUUUAAUGCUCUCAACGACUACUCUAAACUAAAAACUCUUAGCGAUGGAUGACUCGACUCUCGUAACGAGGAAGGACGCAGCAAACCGCGAUAAGCAGUAUGACUUGCGAACUCUCGUGAAUCACCAGAUUUCUGAACGCAAUUGUACUCCGGCCUUCAUGGCUAGAGUACGCUUGGUUCGGUAUCAUUUAGAUUUCCAAAGACGCCAAGCUUUUACACUGUAGGAAGUGAUGGUGCCUUUGGGCCUAGAGCUCUCACCUUGGUGUUAGCUGGCCAGGUGCAUCCUUCAGAUAGAGCCAGACUCCACUCCAGUAGACUUACUAAGCGGAGACUGCCCUACCUUAUGAGGGAUGCUCUUUUAUACUUCUUGAUCCGAACUCAAGCGAGGCUACCCGCUGAAUUUAAGCAUAUUAUUAAGCGGAGGAAUAGAAACCAACAGGGAUUCCCGUAGUAGCGGCGAGCGAAGUGGGAACAGCCCGAGAUGUAAAUCCUCGCUUUGGCGAGGAGGUGUACAUCUAACUUUGACCUGAGAGGUCGUUACACUAAGUUGCCUGGAAAGGCACGCCACAGAGGGUGACAGUCCCGUCUUUGUGUAGCGAAUCUCCCGUCUGGUCAAAGUUGCUUGAGUCACGCUCUUUGGGAGUAGAGCGCAAAUUGGGUGGUGACCUCCAUCCAUGGCUAAAUAUUAACGAGAGAUCGAUAGCAAACAAGUACCGUGAGGGAAAGUUGAAAAGUACUUCGAAAGGAGAGUUAAAAUACCUGAAAUCGCUAAGAGGGAAGCGACUGUCCGUGACCUAUGCUUGGUGACUCCCUAGCUUGGACCACCUUGUGACUUGACAGCACUUGACAGUUCCUUGAUUUCACCUUGUUGCUUCGGCGGCUCGGUGUUUUUCCUGGACUGGUCGAGUGCCUUGUCAAGAGAGCCACGGACAGGCGACCCGUCUUGAAACACGGACCAAGGAGUUAAACCAUUGUGCGAGUGUAUGGGUGGCAAACCCUUACGCGCAGUGAAAGCAAUAGCUGUGAGUUCCAACGAAACAGCGGCCGACCACGAAGUUCGAGCUUGAGCAUAAUGGUGUAGACCCGAAAGAUGGUGACCUAUACCUGGGUUGGGUGAAGCCAGGGGAAACCCUGGUGGAAGCUCGUAGCGAUACUGACGUGCAAAUCGUUCGUCAAACUUGGGCAUAGGGGCGAAAGACUAAUCGAACCGUCUAGUAGCUGGUUCCCUC
rnacentral:misc_RNA from 1 species